CACUUGACGGUACCAGAUGAAUAAGCACCGGCUAACUCCGUGCCAGCAGCCGCGGUAAUACGGAGGGUGCAAGCGUUAUCCGGAUUCACUGGGUUUAAAGGGUGCGUAGGCGGGCAGGUAAGUCAGUGGUGAAAUCCUUGAGCUUAACUCCAGAACUGCCAUUGAUACUAUCUGUCUUGAAUAUUGUGGAGGUAAGCGGAAUAUGUCAUGUAGCGGUGAAAUGCUUAGAUAUGACAUAGAACACCUAUUGCGAAGGCAGCUUACUACGCAUAUAUUGACGCUGAGGCACGAAAGCGUGGGGAUC
rnacentral:rRNA from 1 species